rnacentral:rRNA from 1 species
CCUACGGGUGGCAGCAGUAGGGAAUAUUGCUCAAUGGGGGAAACCCUGAAGCAGCAACGCCGCGUGCAGGAGGAAGGUUUUCGGAUUUUAAACUCCUUUUGUUAGAGAAGAAAAUGACGGUAUCUAACGAAUAAGCACCGGCUAACUCCGUGCCAGCAGCCGCGGUAAUACGGAGGGUGCAAGCGUUACUCGGAAUCACUGGGCGUAAAGAGUGCGUAGGCGGGAUAGCAAGUCAGAUGUGAAAUGCUAUGGCUUAACCAUAGAACUGCAUUUGAUACUGUUAAUCUAGAGUGUGGGAGAGGUAGGUGGAAUUCUUGGUGUAGGGGUGAAAUGCGUAGAGAUCAAGAGGAAUACUGAUUGCGAAGGCGACUUGCUAGAACAUAACUGACGCUGAGGCGCGAAAGCGUGGGGAGCAAACAGGAUUAGAUACCCGAGUAGUC